GUUCAUGUAGCUUAAAGCUAAAGCAAGGCGCUGAAAAUGCCUAGAUGAGUCCACCAACUCCAUAAACA
rnacentral:tRNA from 1 species